AUUGAACGCUGGCGGCAUGCCUUACACAUGCAAGUCGAACGGUAACAGGUCUUCGGAUGCUGACGAGUGGCGAACGGGUGAGUAAUACAUCGGAACGUGCCUAGUAGUGGGGGAUAACUACUCGAAAGAGUGGCUAAUACCGCAUGAGAUCUACGGAUGAAAGCAGGGGAUCGCAAGACCUUGUGCUACUAGAGCGGCCGAUGGCAGAUUAGGUAGUUGGUGGGAUAAAAGCUUACCAAGCCGACGAUCUGUAGCUGGUCUGAGAGGACGAUCAGCCACACUGGGACUGAGACAAUGCCCAGACUCCGACGGGAGGCAGCAGUGGGGAAUUUUGGACAAUGGGCGCAAGCCUGAUCCAGCAAUGCCGCGUGCAGGAUGAAGGCCUUCGGGUUGUAAACUGCUUUUGUACGGAACGAAAAGCCCUGGGUUAAUACCCUGGGGUCAUGACGGUACCGUAAGAAUAAGCACCGGCUAACUACGCGCCAGCCGCCGCAGUAAAAC
rnacentral:rRNA from 1 species